rnacentral:misc_RNA from 1 species
AAUCAUCAAGCCCGUUCGGUUUCACCGCCGAGCGGGCUUGGACUUGGGGGCUUGCCGCUUCGCCGCGGCUCCCCUUAAAUGCAUCGGUUUCGGGUCUCUGUGGGAGUUAACCCCUUGGGCGUUGUAUAACCCUCGCCGUCUGGGAACUCCUCGCGACGUCCGCGUCGUCGAAGGGCCUUGAAGGAACCUCGACCUGCCGUAGAGCGGCGGUCAACGUUAAUUUGAAAU